GACGAACGCUGGCGACGUGCUUAACACAUGCAAGUCGAACGGUGAAAGCGGAGCUUGCUCCGCUGGAUCAGUGGCGAACGGGUGAGUAACACGUGGGCAACCUGCCCCAGACUUCGGGAUAACUCCUCGAAAGAGGUGCUAAUACCGGAUACGAAGCCCCCAGGCAUCUGGGGGUUUGGAAAGUUUUUCGGUCUGGGAUGGGCCCGCGGCCUAUCAGCUUGUUGGUGAGGUAACGGCUCACCAAGGCGACGACGGGUAGCCGGCCUGAGAGGGCGACCGGCCACACUGGGACUGAGACACGGCCCAGACUCCUACGGGAGGCAGCAGUGGGGAAUAUUGCGCAAUGGGCGAAAGCCUGACGCAGCAACGCCGCGUGAGGGAUGACGGCCUUCGGGUUGUAAACCUCUUUCAGCAGGGAAGAAGCGAAAGUGACGGUACCUGCAGAAGAAGCACCGGCUAACUACGUGCCAGCCGCCGCAGUAA
rnacentral:rRNA from 1 species